rnacentral:lncRNA from 1 species
AUAGUCCAGCCUCCCGCUGAGAAACUAUCUUUAAAGAUAACGGGAAUCUGCACUCAACAAUAUCAACACGCAAGAAUAGAAAACAUGAUGCAUCCUAGCCCUAGUCCUAGUCAGGUUAUUAACUCAGUCUUAAUUUCAUUCAUCUCAGCUUAGCCCUUGCUAAACUGAGUCCGGUUCCAUAAAUAAAAUAACUCUAAGGACUCUACCAUUCAAUAGCGUAAUCAUUCUAAUCUAUAUGCAACUCGAUCUACCCUAAAUUCCAAGUGGAAUUCACACAAACCAACUCAC